UACGGAGGGUGCGAGCGUUGUCCGGAAUCACUGGGCGUAAAGGGCGCGUAGGCGGCCAACUAAGUCGGAUGUGAAAUCCCCAGGCUUAACCUGGGAAUUGCAUCCGAUACUGGAUGGCUUGAAUCCGGGAGAGGGAUGCGGAAUUCCAGGUGUAGCGGUGAAAUGCGUAGAUAUCUGGAGGAACACCGGUGGCGAAGGCGGCAUCCUGGACCGGCAUUGACGCUGAGGAGCGAAAGCCAGGGGAGCAAACGGG
rnacentral:rRNA from 1 species